CAUUAUCGUAUAAAACGUGUGAGGCAUGUGCGAGGGCUGUCGCUGACUUGAAACAGAGUCGUGCACGUCCAAGCUGUGUCCUCACACAUAAAAUCCAUCUCACCCUUUUGUGCAUCGCCGCGUGGGCACUCUUCAGGAUCUGACCGAUCCAGGAGAGGGCUUGCGUUUUCACACAAACGAACCCUUAUGUGUAGAAUGUCACCUUUUUUGCGAUUGCUCGCAAUUAAUACAACUUUCAACAACGGAUCUCUUGGCUCUCGCAUCGAUGAAGAACGCAGCGAAAUGCGAUACGUAAUGUGAAUUGCAGAAUUCAGUGAAUCAUCGAAUCUUUGAACGCACCUUGCGCCCUUUCGGGAUUCCGAGGGGCACACCCGUUUGAGUGUCGUGAAAUUCUCAACCUUCUUGGUUCCUUCUGGACAUCAAAGAGGGCUUGGACUUUGGAGGUCUUUGCCGGUGUCUCUCUUUUGGAAGCUGGCUCCUCUUAAAUGAAUUAGUGGGGUCCUCUUUGCCGAUCCUUGACGUGUGAUAAGAUGCUUCCACGUCUUGGUUCUUGGCUCUGUCGCUUUUGGGACCUGCUUCUAACCGUCUCGCCUUGUGUCGAGACAAAUGUUCGAGUGUGUCUCCCAUCUCGGGAAACUCUCUCGACCCCAUGAACCCUUGACCUCAAAUCGGGUGAGACUACCCGCUGAACUUAAGCAUAUCAAUAAGCGGAGGAAAAGAAACUAACCAGGAUUCCCCUAGUAACUGCGAGUGAAGCGGGAAAAGCUCAAAUUUAAAAUCUGGCGGUCUCUGGCUGUCCGAGUUGUAAUUUAGAGAAGCGUCUUCCGCGCCAGACCGUGCAUAAGUCUCCUGGAAUGGAGCGUCAUAGAGGGUGAGAAUCCCGUCUUUGGCACGGACACCUGGUGCUUCUGUGAUGCGCUCUCGAAGAGUCGAGUUGUUUGGGAAUGCAGCUCAAAAUGGGUGGUGAACUCCAUCUAAAGCUAAAUAUUGGCGAGAGACCGAUAGCGAACAAGUACCGUGAGGGAAAGAUGAAAAGCACUUUGGAAAGAGAGUGAAACAGUACGUGAAAUUGUUGAAAGGGAAACGCUUGAAGUCAGUCGCGUCGACCGAGACUCAGCCUUGCCUUGGCUCGGUGUACUUCUCGGCCUGACGGGUCAGCAUCGAUUUUGCCCCUCGGAUAAUGGCAGGAGAAAGGUGGCACCUUUGCGGGUGUGUUAUAGUCUCUUGUCGCAUGCGAGGGUCAGGAUCGAGGAACUCGGCGUGCACCU
rnacentral:rRNA from 1 species